UACGAAGGGGGGCUAGCGUUGCUCGGAAUCACUGGGCGUAAAGCGCACGUAGGCGGGUCGUUAAGUCAGGGGUGAAAUCCUGGAGCUCAACUCCAGAACUGCCCUUGAUACUGGCGAUCUCGAGUUCGGGAGAGGUGAGUGGAACUGCGAGUGUAGAGGUGAAAUUCGUAGAUAUUCGGAAGAACACCAGUGGCGAAGGCGGCUCACUGGCCCGGUACUGACGCUGAGGUGCGAAAGCGUGGGGAGCAAACAGG
rnacentral:rRNA from 1 species